rnacentral:rRNA from 1 species
AGAGUUUGAUCCUGGCUCAGAAUGAACGCUGGCGGCGUGCCUAACACAUGCAAGUCGAACGAGAAAGCCUGGCUUGCCAGGCAAGUAAAGUGGCGCACGGGUGAGUAACGCGUGGGUAAUCUACCUUUGUCUGGGGGAUAACCUACCGAAAGGUGGGCUAAUACCGCAUAACGUGAUUGAAUUGCGAUUUGAUCACCAAAGAUGGCCUCUCCAUGGAAGCUAUCAGGUAAAGAUGAGCUCGCGUCCCAUUAGCUAGUUGGUAAGGUAAAGGCUUACCAAGGCGACGAUGGGUAGCUGGUCUGAGAGGAUGGCCAGCCACACUGGAACUGGAACACGGUCCAGACUCCUACGGGAGGCAGCAGUGAGGAAUCUUGCGUAAUGGGGGCAACCCUGACGCAGCAACGCCGCGUGAGUGAAGAAGGCCUUCGGGUCGUAAAGCUCUGUCAAGUGGGAAGAAUAGCCUUAAGCUGAAUAAUCUUAAGGUAUGACGGUACCACUGGAGGAAGCACCGGCUAACUCCGUGCCAGCAGCCGCGGUAAUACGGAGGGUGCAAGCGUUAUUCGGAAUUAUUGGGCGUAAAGGGCGUGUAGGCGGCCAGACAAGUCAGAUGUGAGAGCCCAGGGCUCAACCCUGGAAGUGCAUUUGAAACUGUUUGGCUUGAGUGCGGGAGAGGAAAGCGGAAUUCCCAGUGUAGAGGUGAAAUUCGUAGAUAUUGGGAGGAACACCGGUGGCGAAGGCGGCUUUCUGGACCGACACUGACGCUGAGGCGCGAAAGCGUGGGGAGCAAACAGGAUUAGAUACCCUGGUAGUCCACGCCGUAAACGAUGGGCACUAGGUGUAGGAGGUUUUUAACCCUCCUGUGCCGUAGCUAACGCAUUAAGUGCCCCGCCUGGGGAGUACGGUCGCAAGAUUAAAACUCAAA